CUGAACUGCCGACACGAGCUGUUGCUGGUCUCCAAAUGGGGGCAUGUGCACGCUCUGUUUGUGCAUCCACUCACACCUGUGCACCUUCUGUAGUUCUGUGGCCUGGGGGGCUCGUCCUCCUGCUGCGGUUCUGCGUCUUUACACUCACACUGUGAUAAAGUCUAACGGAAUGCAUGCUGCGUUUGACGCAAUACAAUA
rnacentral:misc_RNA from 1 species